GGGACUCUCCUGUGAGAACAACCUGAGAUGUUCGCUUCUCCCGAGGCUGGCUGAUUUCCUUAGGUUCUGGAGCACCAUCUGCAGAGACUCUGGCUGAGGAGAUCUGAGGUGAAGACAGACAGCUCCAUUCCAUGUGGCAGAGAUAUGAGGCCAACAGCCCUGGAACCAUGUCCGAAAGAGGAAAACGCACUCCACAACCCCAACUCAACUACAGAAAUUUUUCUGAUUGGCCCCACCUGGAAACUCCUCCCCUUGUGGGUCCAGUACAGGUAUUUUGACUGACAGCUCUACCCCAGCUUGUGGAAUCAGGGAAGAGUUUC